UUCAGUUGAAAGCUAUUUGUUUAGUGCCAACAGUUGGCGGAAUCUCUUAGGUCCUCUUCUCACUGGCGGUAUAGGGCCACUGAUAGACACCUCCGCGUUUAGGGAGCUGACUGUGUUCAGCAGUUCCAUAAAGUCCAGUUUCUGCAAUUCUGACUCUUGCCUUAC